AGGAACAGUGGGUUAACUGCCUGUUCAGGGGCAGAACGACAGAUUUGUACCUUGUCAGCUCGGGGUUUGAACUUGCAACCUUCCGGUUACUAGUCCAACGCUUUGAUUUAACACACGAUCAAUACAGCGUCAUCUUUAAUAAUGAAACACUCAGUAAAACACAAAGAAAAACAACAUCUCAUUGUAGGGUCAGGUAUUUAUUAUAAAUGGAAACGUCAAAAGUAAUUUAAAUACAACAGAAGAGAGAGAAGUGACACGUCAUGAUGUUCAGGUCAGAAUGUGGACUGUGUGUGUUCUGCCAGGUGAGCUGUGUGUUAGUAGUAGAGAGGCUGUGUGUGUGUGUGUGUUCUGCCAGGUGAGCUGUGUGUUAGUAGUAGAGAGGCUGUGUGUGUGUGUGUGUGUUCUGCCAGGUGAGCUGUGUGUUAGUAGUAGAGAGAGGCUACGUGUGUGUGUGUGUGUGUGUGUGUGUGUGUGUGUGUGUGUGUGUGUGUGUGUGUGUGUGUGUGUGUGUGUGUGUGUGUGUGUGUGUGUGUGUGUGUGUGUGUAGGGGGUUCCGUGGUCCUGGAGAGUGUUGUGACGUGAAUCAGAGAAGGGAAUCACUAUAUGGGAACUAUGGUAAUAUCACCAGUAGAGACUGUA